AUGUUUUACUGGGUGCUGUGGGUGACCACAGGUAAUUGCCCGAUUACAACCGGGUUCACUAUGUCUUUUUUGUUUUUAAGGCACCAUGCAGCUCUGCGCCCUGUACACACGUUUAUACACCCUUUACACACACCUACGAAGAGGCUGUUGUCACGCUGCCAUAAUCAGUACUUGGUACCGCUGCCCCAUCAGGACACAAAGCGGCAGCUGCAGUUCGACACGAGGCAUCUCGCGCUAUUUAUUUAUUUCCAGAGCGACGAGCGCUCAGCCAGCCGCUUAUCGUUUCGCUGGCAGCCGAAACGCUGUCGGCCUUCCCAUGCCAGACUCGCGGGCUGCGGCCGCUCCCACCGCGGCCCUCACAGGAGCGCGCCGCUCCCUCCGCCGCUCAGGGAGGGAAAGGCGGCACUGCCGAGCCGCGGCCCGCCCACACCCCGGGAUGCUCGGAGGAGCCGAGGCGGGCUCUGCGGAGGAGCCAAGGCCGCGGCGCGGCACCUCGCGCCCGGCGGGAGGCGGCCCGGCCGGGUCAGCCCGCCCCUGGCCCCGGCCCUCCGCCGCCCCUUCCUGUCAUGGCGGCGGCCGGGCCCCGGCAGCGCGACGAGGCGGCGGGGUGGAAAGCGGCCCUCCGCAGAAGCUGAGCGCCCGGUGCCGAACGGGGACGCCGCCCAGCCCGGAGUCGGCGGCGCUGCGCUGCGGCAGGAGGUGACCGAGAUAGUGCUGAAGGACCUGCUUUCUACAGCUUUCAUCAUUUAACUUCCGUGUGGGGUCAGCAGCAUGUCUUCCGCUGGGUGCGCCUCAAAACUUCUCCUGGUCCUCACUGCACUGCUGCUGGUGCUGCCAGCGGUUGAAGCCAUGGACGCAGGAGAUACAAUUGCCUUCCUGCUGGGCCUUGCUGUCAGCGUCAUUGGAUUCUGUGCCUGCCUUGGCUUGUAUGCCAGGAAAAGAAAUGGACAGCAGUGAUUUCAAGAAGAUGCUCAAAUGAAAUGUGUUUCCUAACAUUGUUUGGGGUUGAGGUCUGGGAUUUAAAACUGCUUCAGUUCUGGAUAACUUUUGAAAACUUGUAGUAGAUAGUCCUGCAAGCCCUCUUACUGUGCAAUAUAACAGAUCAAGACCAUACUCAGUAGAAGGGAUUUGUAGGAUCUGUCAUCAUGACAGUAAGAUGAUUUUACAUUGCUUGUGAUUAAAUAAUGCCUUAGAGAAAGGUGAGAACUAUUUGAAUAGGGGGUGGAGAGCCACGGAGUGGUUCACAGUAAACAAUGAUAAAUGGAAUGUAUGAGGGAGACCUUCAACAAGUUCUGCAAUUUUGGUUUCAGGAGUUCAUCAGGAGGAAGCAGCUAUUAGUCUUCCAGUCAGGAUGACAGAGCUUUGGAAAUACCUCUGAUGAGAUAACUAGCGAGCAGACUGCUUUGACAUGAGCGUAUGUGCUCACAUGGUUUGUAAUGACAGUACCUGACAGCUCACUUCCACUGUUACAGGGAUGAGAUUUGGGAGAACUAAGAAAACAUGGAAAACUCUCCUAUUUAUUUUCAUUUUUAUGUUAGAAUGUGCCUCUUCUCUAGCCUGUGUUCUUGUUAACAGAAUGGGACUGUUAUUUUACUUCAACAUGUAAAGCUAUGUGAAUCAAGUAGGGAAUAUGUUUUGUUGUCACUUCUUUAUUUUCAGCACUCAGUUUUCCUUUAAGCAUGUUGAGUAAAGUGUUCUGUUUUGUUUUGGGUUUUUUUGUUCGCUUUUUCCAAAAAUGAAGAUUUAGCUAUUUUAGUGUGGAAUUAUAUGUAGUGUUUCUGAAUUAGGCAGUUAUUAAAUUUUAUCAGGACAAUUGUGCACAUUUCUUUUGCAGUAUGGAAACAAAUUGUUUUGUCAGAAUCCUGGGUUUAGUAGACAAAUCUGUUAUUCUUGAAUGUCCUCCUCCUGAUAAACUCAAUGUUGUUAGUUAAGCAUUUAGCCUUCUUAUCUAAUUGAUACCUAAGGGUUCCACAGAAGAAUAGAACCAAAAAUAAAGUAGAAAAUCUUGAUGCA
rnacentral:lncRNA from 1 species